rnacentral:rRNA from 1 species
AACGAACGCUGGCGGCAUGCCUAACACAUGCAAGUCGAACGCCCCGCAAGGGGAGUGGCGAACGGGUGAGUAACGCGUGGGAACCUACCCAGCAGUUGGGGAUAACCGCGGGAAACUGCGGCUAAUACCGAAUACGUCCUUCGGGAGAAAGAUUUAUCGCUGUUGGAGGGGCCCGCGUCGGAUUAGCUAGUUGGCGGGGUAACGGCCCACCAAGGCGACGAUCCGUAGCUGGUCUGAGAGGAUGAUCAGCCACACUGGGACUUAGACACGGCCCAGACUCCUACGGGAGGCAGCAGUGGGGAAUAUUGGACAAUGGGGGCAACCCUGAUCCAGCAAUGCCGCGUGAGUGAUGAAGGCCUUAGGGUUGUAAAGCUCUUUUGCCGGGGACGAUGAUGACGGUACCCGGAGAAUAAGCCCCGGCUAACUUCGUGCCAGCAGCCGCAGUAACAC